rnacentral:rRNA from 1 species
GGGUUGUGAGGUUAAGCGACUAAGCGUACACGGUGGAUGCCCUGGCAGUCAGAGGCGAUGAAGGACGUGCUAAUCUGCGAAAAGCGUCGGUAAGGUGAUAUGAACCGUUACAGCCGGCGAUGUCCGAAUGGGGAAACCCAGUGCAAUUCGUUGCACUAUCGUUAACUGAAUACAUAGGUUAACGAGGCGAACCGGGGGAACUGAAACAUCUAAGUACCCCGAGGAAAAGAAAUCAACCGAGAUUCCCCCAGUAGCGGCGAGCGAACGGGGAGCAGCCCAGAGUCUGAAUCAGCUUGUGUGUUAGUGGAACGGUCUGGAAAGUCCGACGGUACAGGGUGAUAGUCCCGUACACCAAAAUGCACAGGCUGUGAACUCGAAGAGUAGGGCGGGACACGUGGUAUCCUGUCUGAAUAUGGGGGGACCAUCCUCCAAGGCUAAAUACUCCUGACUGACCGAUAGUGAACCAGUACCGUGAGGGAAAGGCGAAAAGAACCCCGGCGAGGGGAGUGAAAAAGAACCUGAAACCGUGUACGUACAAGCAGUGGGAGCACCUU